UACGUAGGGUCCGAGCGUUGUCCGGAAUUACUGGGCGUAAAGAGCUCGCAGGUGGUUUGUCGCGUUGUUCGUGAAAACUCACAGCUCAACUGUGGGCGUGCGGGCGAUACGGGCAGACUUGAGUACUGCAGGGGAGACUGGAAUUCCUGGUGUAGCGGUGGAAUGCGCAGAUAUCAGGAGGAACACCGGUGGCGAAGACGGGUCUCUGGGCAGUAACUGACGCUGAGGAGCGAAAGCGUGGGGAGCGAACAGG
rnacentral:rRNA from 1 species